AUGACGUCGUGGUGGUGCGGCGCGUUGAGGGUGAGGAAGCGGCGGAGCAUCUGGCGCAACUCCUCCCCGGCGAUGAUCCCGUUCUCCACGAUCAUCUGCACCAUCGACUGCCGGAAGUCGCUCAGCGGGUCCUCGGACUGCUUCACCACUGCCACGCUGCCGUCGAGCCCAACUUCCACGCAGGCGUCAACAGUCACCGGUUCGACGCUGUCACCGACGCGGCGAUCCUUAGCGCCGCCCGUCGUGACGUCGCCGCCCUUGACGCCACUUUUCAUGGUCGCCUUCUUGUGCUCCGGUGGCGGUGUCGAGGCUUUCUUGUCGCGGUUGCGGUGGCUCUUCCGGCCCCACGACACGACGCUCUGCUCCAGCUCGUUGAGCUCGCGCAGCAAGCCGGAGAAGCUCUGCGUGGCUGCCGAUCCCUCCAUCUUGAAGUGGCCGUCGUCGCCGCAUUCGAACUCCGCCACGGCGUCCUCCCAUAGCAAGGACGACGACGAGGCAGAGGUCAGAGUGUCCGUCGUCAUCGACGCCGACGGGUUGGCCCUCCCGCCCCUGCGCCGCGUCUCGGUUGUGGUCGAUGUACCCGCGCCGGACGGCGAGGGCGACGCAGACACCGACGCGGGGACCACCGACACGCUCUUGGCGUCCUUGCAGCCACACCCGAGCGCGAACCCGGCACCGCCGUGGCGCUUCUUGACCGAAAUGCCGGGGCUCAACAUUCUUUCUGUUCUUGUCCUUCCGGAGUGUGCGCGUGUGGGACGGCACUACCACCCGGAGGGACUUGCUCGUGUGAGGCUAAUUGCGCAGCGCUCUAGGUUGUCCACUUUUGGUUUAUCUUGCUGGGUCGGGGCCUCGGGGCUUUAUAUAGAAGAAGAAGUGUGCAUCGCUCAGCUAGGCAGCUAG
rnacentral:rRNA from 1 species